rnacentral:rRNA from 1 species
GACAGAGGGUGCAAACGUUGCUCGGAAUCACUGGGCGUAAAGGGCGUGUAGGCGGGACGGUAAGUCGGGCGUGAAAUCCCUAGGCUCAACCUAGGAACUGCACUCGAAACUACCAUUCUUGAGUGUCGGAGAGGAAAGCGGAAUUCCUGGUGUAGAGGUGAAAUUCGUAGAUAUCAGGAGGAACACCAGUGGCGAAGGCGGAUCUCUGGGCCAUUACUGACGCUGAGGAGCGAAAGCGUGGGGAGCGAACAGG